rnacentral:rRNA from 1 species
UACGAAGGGGGCUAGGCGUUGCUCGGAAUCACUGGGCGUGAAAGGGUGCGAUGAGGCGGGUCUUUAAGUCAGAGGUGAAAUCCGUGGAAGCUCAACUCCAGAACUGCCUUUGAUACUGGAGAGCUAAGAGUCCGGAAGAGGUGAGUGGAACUGGCGAGUGUAGAGGUGAAAUUCGUGAGAUAUUCGCAAAGAACACCAGUGGCAAAGGCGGCUAGCACGUGG